GGCCGAAAAGGGGGAUGAAGCACUGGGGGCACAUAUCCCCCCCCCCCCCCCAAUGUUUUUAAAAGUUUUAUGGAAAUUGCAAGUAGGGGCGUGUCAAUCGACGUCUGCUGCAGCUGUGAUAUAAAGGAAUGACCUGUGCUGUACAUUACCAGAAGUUUUUAGUGUUAGGGAGAGAAGAAUCAAAGGAAGGCAUUCUUUCUAAAUAUAACUAGCGGGCAUUUAAGAC